rnacentral:rRNA from 1 species
GAUGAACGCUGGCGGCGUGCCUAAUACAUGCCAGUCGAGCGAAAGGACGCGAAGCUUGCUUCUUUGAUGUUAGCGGCGGACGGGAGAGUAACACGUGGAUAAUCUCCCUAUCUGACGGGGAUCACUUCGGGAAACCGGAGCUAAUACCGGAUAAUCUUUUGAACCGCAUGGUUCAUAAGUGAAAGACGGUCUUGCUGUCACUAAUAGCUGGAUCUCCGCUGCAUUAGCUAGUUGGUAAGGUACCGGCUUACCAAGGCAACGUUGCAUAGCCGACCGGAGAGGGUGGUCAGCCACACUGGGACGGUGACACGGCCCAGUCGCCUACGGGAGGCAGCCGUAGGGAAACGUCCGCAAUGGGCGAAAGCCUGACGGAGCAGCGCCGCGGGCGUGAGGAAGAUCUUCGGGUCGUAGAACUCUGUUAUUAGGGAAGAACAUAUGUGUAAGUAACUGUGCACAUCUUGACGGUACCUAAUCAGAAAGCCACGGCUAACUACGUGC